rnacentral:rRNA from 1 species
GUGGGGAAUAUUGCGCAAUGGACGAAAGUCUGACGCAGCGACGCCGCGUGAGUGAUGAAGGCCUUAGGGUCGUAAAGCUCUGUUGAAUGGGAAGAAAAAAAUGACGGUACCAUUCGAGGAAGGACCGGCUAACUUCGUGCCAGCAGCCGCGGUAAUACGAGGGGUCCUAGCGUUGUUCGGAAUCAUUGGGCGUAAAGGGUGUGUAGGUGGCCAUGUAAGUCAGGUGUGAAAGCCCCGGGCUCAACCCGGGAAGUGCACUUGAUACUGCGUGGCUUGAGUACCGAAGAGGGUAGUGGAAUUCCAGGUGUAGUGGUGAAAUACGUAGAUAUCUGGAGGAACACCGGUGGCGAAGGCGGCUACCUGGUCGAGUACUGACACUGAGACACGAAAGCAUGGGGAUCAAACAGGAUUAGAAACCCUUGUAGUCC